AGGCCGACGCAGCAGGCAUGGAGGCUGGCUGUGCCCGGGCUGCCCCUCCCCAGGAAAAGCCCUGUGGGGAUGAGCCACUGGCAGGGCCGUGCCCGGUGCCUGCCCAGCCCCUGGCACACAGCGUUCCUGCCUGCCCCGCUGGCAGCGCAGCCGUCCCGCAGCCCCCGGCCCCACGGCAAUGGCGCUCCAUGGCCAAGAGGGCCCGGCGGGCUCUGCGCCGCCUUUUCUCCUUCAGCUGCCUCUGCGGGCGGCCGGAGCAGUGAGCCCGGGGCCAGCACUGGGACGCUCACCAAAGAUGCCUCAGGGCUCACCCUGGGCAUGCCCAGCUCCCAGGGGCAGCGGCAGCUCCCGGAGACAGUCGCACCAGGAAGAGUAAAACACCUGAUGCACUGAAUGGAUGGAUGGCGCCCAAGGCAACCACCUCCUAAAGGGCCAUCCCCACCCUUCCCUCAAGGCUGCAUUAGGAGCUGACAACUUCUACUUGGGCCUCAGCCUUGCAGGAACCUCCGGGACUCCCAGUGCAGAGACAUGCAGGGUCAGGACGGACCGAGAGGAUGCUGCUGGAAUCAAGCAUCUUGGACUGACCUCUGCUUGAUCUCUCCCCU